GCCCCUGUAGUGAAAUGGAUAUCACGCGACGCUUCGGACGUCGUAUUGUAGGUUCGAGUCCUGCCGGGGGCA
rnacentral:tRNA from 1 species